CGCUGGUUGCAGGGAGUGGCUAACCUGUGGACCGCCAUAGUUUCAGUCCCUGAAGUCUUGUGCAGCGUCAAUGAUGCCGGGGACUGCACGCACCCCCCUUUUUAUGACACAGCACAUGCGCACCUUUGUCACUAGGAAUGGAACAUAACCACCGCCCUAUGACGGUUUGGGGGCGUGAUUAUGUCAACAAGCCUACCAGCCUAUAAAACAGCUAAAGUUUAGGUAAACAGUGC